CUCACCAAUGCAGAAUGGAGGAGAAUAUGCAGCUCAGCAGCUGAUGUCACUUUUGACCCUGAGACUGCACAUCCAUGUCUCAUUGUGUCUGAAGACGGGAAAGA